rnacentral:rRNA from 1 species
CCUCGUGAAUUCAUCUCCGGGGGUAGAGCACUGUUUCGGCAAGGGGGUCAUCCCGACUUACCAACCCGAUGCAAACUGCGAAUACCGGAGAAUGUUAUCACGGGAGACACACGGCGGGUGCUAACGUCCGUCGUGAAGAGGGAAACAACCCAGACCGCCAGCUAAGGUCCCAAAGUCAUGGUUAAGUGGGAAACGAUGUGGGAAGGCCCAGACAGCCAGGAUGUUGGCUUAGAAGCAGCCAUCAUUUAAAGAAAGCGUAAUAGCUCACUGGUCGAGUCGGCCUGCGCGGAAGAUGUAACGGGGCUAAACCAUGCACCGAAGCUGCGGCAGCGACACUAUGUGUUGUUGGGUAGGGGAGCGUUCUGUAAGCCUGCGAAGGUGUACUGUGAGGUAUGCUGGAGGUAUCAGAAGUGCGAAUGCUGACAUAAGUAACGAUAAAGCGGGUGAAAAGCCCGCUCGCCGGAAGACCAAGGGUUCCUGUCCAACGUUAAUCGGGGCAGGGUGAGUCGACCCCUAAGGCGAGGCCGAAAGGCGUAGUCGAUGGGAAACAGGUUAAUAUUCCUGUACUUGGUGUUACUGCGAAGGGGGGACGGAGAAGGCUAUGUUGGCCGGGCGACGGUUGUCCCGGUUUAAGCGUGUAGGCUGGUUUUCCAGGCAAAUCCGGAAAAUCAAGGCUGAGGCGUGAUGACGAGGCACUACGGUGCUGAAGCAACAAAUGCCCUGCUUCCAGGAAAAGCCUCUAAGCAUCAGGUAACAUCAAAUCGUACCCCAAACCGACACAGGUGGUCAGGUAGAGAAUACCAAGGCGCUUGAGAGAACUCGGGUGAAGGAACUAGGCAAAAUGGUGCCGUAACUUCGGGAGAAGGCACGCUGAUAUGUAGGUGAAGCGACUUGCUCGUGGAGCUGAAAUCAGUCGAAGAUACCAGCUGGCUGCAACUGUUUAUUAAAAACACAGCACUGUGCAAACACGAAAGUGGACGUAUACGGUGUGACGCCUGCCCGGUGCCGGAAGGUUAAUUGAUGGGGUCAGCGCAAGCGAAGCUCUUGAUCGAAGCCCCGGUAAACGGCGGCCGUAACUAUAACGGUCCUAAGGUAGCGAAAUUCCUUGUCGGGUAAGUUCCGACCUGCACGAAUGGCGUAAUGAUGGCCAGGCUGUCUCCACCCGAGACUCAGUGAAAUUGAACUCGCUGUGAAGAUGCAGUGUACCCGCGGCAAGACGGAAAGACCCCGUGAACCUUUACUAUAGCUUGACACUGAACAUUGAGCCUUGAUGUGUAGGAUAGGUGGGAGGCUUUGAAGUGUGGACGCCAGUCUGCAUGGAGCCGACCUUGAAAUACCACCCUUUAAUGUUUGAUGUUCUAACGUUGACCCGUAAUCCGGGUUGCGGACAGUGUCUGGUGGGUAGUUUGACUGGGGCGGUCUCCUCCUAAAGAGUAACGGAGGAGCACGAAGGUUGGCUAAUCCUGGUCGGACAUCAGGAGGUUAGUGCAAUGGCAUAAGCCAGCUUGACUGCGAGCGUGACGGCGCGAGCAGGUGCGAAAGCAGGUCAUAGUGAUCCGGUGGUUCUGAAUGGAAGGGCCAUCGCUCAACGGAUAAAAGGUACUCCGGGGAUAACAGGCUGAUACCGCCCAAGAGUUCAUAUCGACGGCGGUGUUUGGCACCUCGAUGUCGGCUCAUCACAUCCUGGGGCUGAAGUAGGUCCCAAGGGUAUGGCUGUUCGCCAUUUAAAGUGGUACGCGAGCUGGGUUUAGAACGUCGUGAGACAGUUCGGUCCCUAUCUGCCGUGGGCGCUGGAGAACUGAGGGGGGCUGCUCCUAGUACGAGAGGACCGGAGUGGACGCAUCACUGGUGUUCGGGUUGUCAUGCCAAUGGCACUGCCCGGUAGCUAAAUGCGGAAGAGAUAAGUGCUGAAAGCAUCUAAGCACGAAACUUGCCCCGAGAUGAGUUCUCCCUGACCCUUUAAGGGUCCUGAAGGAACGUUGAAGACGACGACGUUGAUAGGCCGGGUGUGUAAGCGCAGCGAUGCGUUGAGCUAACCGGUACUAAUGAACCGUGAG